UACGUAGGGCGCAAGCGUUGUCCGGAAUUACUGGGCGUAAAGGGCUCGUAGGCGGCCAACUAAGUCGGACGUGAAAUCCCCAGCUCAACCUGGGAACUGCGUCCCGAUACUGGAUGGCUUGAAUCCGGGAGAGGGAUGCAGAAUUCCAGGUGUAGCGGUGAAAUGCGUAGAUAUCUGGAGGAAUACCGGUGGCGAAGGCGGCAUCCUGGACCGGCAUUGACGCUGAUGAGCGAAAAGCUGAGGGGAGCAAACGGGG
rnacentral:rRNA from 1 species